ensembl:snRNA U6 U6 spliceosomal RNA
GUGCUUGCUUCGGUAGCACAUAUACUAAAACUGGAAUAAUACGGAGAAGACUAGCAUGGCCCCUCACAAGGAUGAUCCAAACCAAUUUCUCCUUAAAU